UCGCCAGAAUAAUGUGAAACUGCUACGUUUUGGUUGCUAUGAACAAUAUUUUGAGUUAGUUUCUGCAUAAAAAUAAGGUUUGAUUACAUUUUUAGCGAGAAAUAUAUAUUCUAUUUUCAUAAUAUUCACUCAGUGAAUGUCAACCCGUUCUCACUCCUGACCGUUCUCACGCUGAAGAAAUCUCCUUCAGAACACAUCGCGAUAUUUGGCAUCAGUUCGCGUGUGCUGGAUGUUGCUGAAAAGACAAAAAGGGCCUUUUGGAAAUGGAUGAAGGAGACAGAAAGCUGCAAAGGCAAAUAAUUGCAAUGGAUUACUUGCAGAUUACUUAGUCCUUCUUUUUAGGAUCUCUACAACAUCAAACUCAACAGCUCUUUUAAGAGCCGACCCUCACAAGAGCUACUAGUGAGUCGCUGCAAACCUGCCAUGAUCAGCCCUUUCCAGAGAAGGAAGACCAGUCCUUAUAUCAAAACAAGCUCAUCGAAGUCCUUUGUUUAGGGUGAGGAAGGAACAUGACCAUCUCAUGCCCAAAGAAGACAGAAGUCCAUUGAUAGCAAGUGAAGUCACUAACAGAAGAUCCUAGAGGAAAAACGACUGAUGUGCAGCUACGGAGGAACACAAGAGGCAGAAAUAUGCAUGGCCAUGGCUUCUUCAUGAGUACGGUAAGUCCUGUGCCUAUUCUUAAUUCUUGCCUUAAAGUUUUUAUUGCAGUAUUUUAACAAUUUUACAUUGUACAGGUUAUCACUUGGUUUUUGACCAAAUUAUGCUCUUGAAACAAGAAACAGAAGAGUAUGUUGUCCUGAAAGAAAUCAAGGCUCAAAAGAGAGCAUGCCUUUCUAAAAGAUCUUUUAAAACAGGUUGCUGUUAAUAUGGGUAAAACAGUUUUUGUUCAGUACUUAGCUUACAGUCUGUGCUGCAUUUUUAUUAUAAUAUAUAUAUUAUGUACUGCUGUUUUGUAAAGUUAAAUCAGGAACAGGCAACUCUAGCCCUUUUGCUGUCUCCUUUUUGAGGUGGAGAGUUUACCUCCAACCAUAAUUGAGCACACCUGAAAAUUUAACCAAAGUCUUCAGGUGUACUUAUAGACAGUUAUAGGCAGUUGGGUUUGAGGUUGGAGCUAAAUCUGCAGGACCGUGGACGCUGAGGGCCAGAGUAGCCCACCACUGUUUAAAUCAUGCAGAACAUAAGCUGACCUGGCUGUCCAUUAAACUACUUAACUUGAAUUGUCUGUGUUUUUUUGUUUUACUUUUAGAACAGGACUGAAGAACGCCUGACAAUGGGAUGUUAAGACUUCUUCCUCUGGUUGAGAAAAAGCUACAGCACAUCAGUGAUCACAUCUUCUGGUCAUCAGUUGUACUGUAGAGUACAACUGAACAAACUGUUUAGAAGAAGAAGAACAUGAACAUGAUAGAGACAUGUACAGGGAAGAGCAAGAACCCAGUUCAGCUGUGAUAAUGAAUCUUUAUUUUAAACUCAAUAUCAAAUCUGUUUUCUGGAUCAUAGUUGACUGGAUGGGAUUCUGUGGCGCUCAUUUGUGCAAUAGGAGUAAAGUCUGUGAAUGGAUUAUUAUGACGUUAACGUAUUUUUGAAGACACGUUUUUAUUUAUCUUGAAUCUCAUUUGUCUUUAUGCAAAUUUCAACCUUAUGCUGUAUCCUCCAAUAAAGUGUUGUGUAAUAAA